AUUGAACGCUGGCGGCAUGCCUUACACAUGCAAGUCGAACGGCAACAGGUCUUCGGAUGCUGACGAGUGGCGAACGGGUGAGUAAUACAUCGGAACGUGCCCGAUCGUGGGGGAUAACGAAGCGAAAGCUUUGCUAAUACCGCAUACGAUCUACGGAUGAAAGCAGGGGACCGCAAGGCCUUGCGCGAACGGAGCGGCCGAUGGCAGAUUAGGUAGUUGGUGGGAUAAAAGCUUACCAAGCCGACGAUCUGUAGCUGGUCUGAGAGGACGACCAGCCACACUGGGACUGAGACACGGCCCAGACUCCUACGGGAGGCAGCAGUGGGGAAUUUUGGACAAUGGGCGAAAGCCUGAUCCAGUCAUGCCGCGUGCAGGAUGAAGGCCUUCGGGUUGUAAACUGCUUUUGUACGGAACGAAAAGACUCUGGUUAAUACCUGGGGUCCAUGACGGUACCGUAAGAAUAAGCACCGGCUAACUACGUG
rnacentral:rRNA from 1 species